UUCAUGUUGUUCUCUUAUGUGACAUUUGUUGGUAAAGAUGGUUUGAAUCGCUUAUCGGUUUCUCAAAGUCAGUAUGUGGAUCGUUGAUGUAGACUUGGCCCUUCUUGCUCUACAAAAUGAUGAUGAAGACUUGGCCUUUUAGUAGAAUAGAAUGAAGAAAAUAAACUUAAAACUAUAUGGUUUUCAAUCAUACUAUAAUUUGAGAGCAUUAUAUUUUAGAGUAAAAUAUAGAAAUUUUUUUAUAGAAUACCAGUUGAGAUGGUUUGAUACCGUCCUAGCUUUUAUUGUCAACAAUUUGAAUUUCUUAAAAAUAAAAAUUAAUAAUUUUAUUAUAAUAAAUUAAUUGGCUAUUAAGAAAGAGUGACGUGAUAAAUGAAUGUAUAAUAAACAGAGGAAAGAAACCG